UCUUAGCUUGCUAAGGCUGAUGGCGACCGGCGCACGGGUGAGUAACACGUAUCCAACCUGCCGUCUACUCUUGGCCAGCCUUCUGAAAGGAAGAUUAAUCCAGGAUGGGAUCAUGAGUUCACAUGUCCGCAUGAUUAAAGGUAUUUUCCGGUAGACGAUGGGGAUGCGUUCCAUUAGAUAGUAGGCGGGGUAACGGCCCACCUAGUCAACGAUGGAUAGGGGUUCUGAGAGGAAGGUCCCCCACAUUGGAACUGAGACACGGUCCAAACUCCUACGGGAGGCAGCAGUGAGGAAUAUUGGUCAAUGGGCGAUGGCCUGAACCAGCCAAGUAGCGUGAAGGAUGACGG
rnacentral:rRNA from 1 species